AUCCGCCAUAACAGUGUGCCUGCGCACUGAGGAAGAGAGAGAAAGGAGGGGAAAGAAUCCGCAAAAACAAGCAGAGGACGGCACAGCAGACAACUGAAUAGCUUCUUUUGUUUGUAAAUUGCUUUAAUAUA